rnacentral:rRNA from 1 species
UGAGGAAUAUUGGUCAAUGGGCGCAAGCCUGAACCGGCCAUCCCGCGUGCAGGAAGACGGCCCUAUGGGUUGUAAACUGCUUUUCCAGGGGGAGAAUUUUUCUGUCGUGACAGGAAUUGACGGUACCCUGGGAAUAAGCAUCGGCUAACUCCGUGCCAGCAGCCGCGGUAAUACGGAGGAUGCGAGCGUUAUCCGGAUUUAUUGGGUUUAAAGGGUGCGUAGGCGGAUUGAUAAGUCAGUGGUGAAAACCUGCAGCUUAACUGUAGACUUGCCGUUGAUACUGUCAGUCUUGAGUGUGGUCAAGGUAGGCGGAAUGUGUAAUGUAGCGGUGAAAUGCUUAGAUGUUACACAGAACACCGAUUGCGAAGGCAGCUUGCUGGGCCAUUACUGACGCUGAUGCACGAAAGCGUGGGGAUCGAACAG